rnacentral:lncRNA from 1 species
CCACCACCAAGAUUGAGGCGCAGAUCAGGAGGAGGAGUGAGAAGCUGUGCAGACUAGCCAUUUCUGCCAAAGUAAGAAGCUUUUCCACUCGCUUUUUCUUCUUCGUUUGUUGAUUUUCUUCAAAGCUGAAUGCUUUCUUUGAUUUUUGCUUGAGCUGCUUUAGUUGUUGUUUUCUCUUGGUCUCUUCUUUAAUUUAAUUUCUUGCCCUUUGUUUCCUUUUGUUUGUUGAUUAUCUCCACCAGUAGGGAGAGAGGGAGGAGAGAGAGAGAGAGAGAGAGAGAGAGAGGGAGAGAGGGAGGGAGAGCGAGGACAAGGGAAAUUAGACAAGAGCUAAAUCUCGGUUAAGGACUUAUAAGAGGCCCGUUGUCAACAAAUGACAUUGGAAUUGGGCAUUAUUUACAAUGGUGCCCCUCUGAGGGUUUAUUUCUUUCUUUCAAACUGAAGCUAGCGAUAUUUUAUUUUAAACUUGCUUAAAAUACUGAGAAAAUUAUAGAAAUGGUUUGUUAACUUUAAUCUAAUUGAAGUGAUAAUCUUUUAACUAAAAAAAUAUGUGAUUAUUGGUCAUUUAACUCACCAAAACGUGCAGUUAUAGUCAUUUUCGCCAACUUUGUUAGAAUUUUCGUCAAAAAAGGUCUUAUUAGAUGGACUAUGCUCCAAUUGGAUUAAAAUUGAGGGACCAUAACUCCAAUUAGUUAAAGUUGAUAGACCAUUUCUUCAAUUGUGUUAAAGUUAAGGGACCAUUGUUACAAUUUUUUUCAUUUGGUUUUUCAUAUUUACUCCUUGAUUCAGUGUCACUCAUUUUGUUGGAAGUUCUAAUGAAGUUGACGAAAAUGACUAUAGUUGCAUGCUUUGAUGAGUUAAGGGACCACUAGUCACGCAUUUUUAGUUGAAUGACCAUUACUCCAAUUAGAUUAAAAUUGAGGAACUAUUGCUAUAAUUUUAUCUAACUACGAGAUGGAAUUAGAACUUCAAGGGUGCGUUUGUUGCACCGGACUAUCUCGGACUGGAUUAGCUUUAGGGACUAAGCUGGACUGGCUUAGACUAGACUAAGCUGGACUGAUUUAGUGAAGCGUUUGGUGCAGUGUCGGACUAAAAAGAAGGAUAAUAACAAACUACAAUAUUUUAUAUUUUUUAAUUCAUAUCUAAUAAUAUUAUAUUAAUUAAUUCUAUCUUUUUUUCUUCUAAUAAUACUCUCCCUCUCUCUGGAAGCCUCCAUCAUUUUCUUCCUCGUUCUCUCCGUCCCACACUCUCCGUCCCUUUCCUUUUUUUUCUGAUUAAUUGCCAAAACUGAUUAAUUGCCAAAAAAAUUCUGCAAAAUGAAGAAUCGAGCUUCGUUUUUCUGGUUUUUGUUCAUGGGAUCGUCGGGCUUGUCCACCAGAGGAGGAGAAAAAAGAAGAGGAAGACCCGGUGGAGGACAAAUCGAAGAGGAAGACCGGGACAAAUCGAAGAGGAAAGACCCGGUGGACAAAACGAGAAAAACGAAGCUCGAUUCUUCAUUUUGCAGAAUUCGGAGGUUGUGGACUCCGAAUCUGGGGUUGGAUUCUGUCUUCUCUGCUGCUGUUUUUUUGUUUGGAUUCUGUCUUCUUUGUUAAAUUUGUCUCUGUUUGUGGGCUGUCGAAGGUUGUGGACUCUGAAUCUGGGGUUGGAUGUUUUGGAUUUUUUAAUGUGCGAGGCAGUGAGGAAGAAGGAAAUGAGAGCGACGAUUUACGAGGACACGGCGGUUGUCCUGGGAUGGUCCGGUGAGGUUGUCGAGCAGGGUGAGCAGUCGAGCAAAGCGCUGAGGAGUCGAGCAGAGCAACGAUCUUAGCAAUCCGGUGGUAUUUGGGGGGUCUCGCUAAGACUACCUAGCGAGCCCCGUAGUCCACACGAGUCCCCUUUAGUCCCACUUAACUUAGUCCCAACACCUAUCAAACAUGGGACUGUAGUCCAGUCCAGUCCAGUCCCUCCUAAGGAGGUGAAACAAACGCCCCCCAAGAGUACAAAGAGAGCUUAUUCGUUAUUCAAUAUGGUUAUGUUCAUGUACGUUUUUUUUUUUUUUUUUUAUCUGAAUCCCUUUUUUUUUCUUUUUUAGGAUUGAUUACUUUUCUUUUUACAAUGAUAACGUGAGUGAGUUAAAUUGCUAAUUGUAAGAUUCAAACUCACACCAAAUUACAUAAAUCAAAUGGCAAACCUAGUAAUUAGAAGCAAAAUCAUUUGCACAUUCAUAACCCAACCUACUAUUAAGAAACACAAAUGGUUGACUGGUUGUCUCUUUUAAAA